rnacentral:rRNA from 1 species
UACGUAGGUGGCGAGCGUUAUCCGGAAUUAUUGGGCGUAAAGCGCGCGCAGGCGGUUCCUUAAGUCUGAUGUGAAAGCCCACGGCUCAACCGUGGAGGGUCAUUGGAAACUGGGGAACUUGAGUGCAGAAGAGAAGAGCGGAAUUCCACGUGUAGCGGUGAAAUGCGUAGAGAUGUGGAAGAACACCAGUGGCGAAGGCGG